AAAGUAUCAGUUAGAGAUUCUUGAACUUUGAAUUUUGCUCUUGAGAAGAUGACUGGUAGGAACUUAGUUGUAUUCUACGCUACUGAAGUAUUGUUCUCUCCCAAUUUGAUCCAUAACAAGUGAUAUGCACUAGCGGGUAAAAAAAAAAAUUAUUACUACUAUUAGCCCAACUAAACAAGCCCAACCCAAGUCAGCCAACACCCCAAAGCCAAACAAGCCCUAGUCUGGUAGUGUGAUACAGAAAUCACAAUUUGCAAACCUAAAACUAAUUACCAGAGGCAGAGCCGUGGCCCGUAGAGUGCAGAGAAAAGGCAAAAGGGUUUUGCAGUUUGUGCCCAUUGGCGGAUCUGGGGGGGCUUGAGUGGGCUACACUUUGUUCAGCACAUUGAUAUUGCUUCUAGCUAUGUGCUGACAUAGUUUCAGAGACAUCAUAAAUCUCUUAAAUAGGUUGGUUGAUUUCAGAAUCCAGAGACAAUAAAGAUGGUCCGGAUGGAGAGGCUGGAGAGAUGCUUUGACAGAGAACUUGAGGUUGCUGAUUUGUCCGGUUUUGUAUUCUCAAGCACAUACAGAAUCCAGAGACAAUAAAGAUGGUCUGGAUGGAGAUCAUGGAGAGGCUGGAGAAAUGCUUUGACUGAGAACUUGAGGUUGCUGAUUUGUCUGGUUUUGUAUUCUCAAGCACAUAUAGCAACUACGAAGAGAGCAUUUUCAGGCAUGAGAAACAGCGAUGCGUAGCACGAUGGGAGAUGAAUUUCUUGCUGACUGCAUGACCAUCAACCUUGAAUUUGGAAAAUUGACUUGGAGUCUAUUAUCAACGAAUUUGAGUCUUUAAAGACUCGUCGAACACAAC